UACGUAGGGGGCAAGCGUUGUCCGGAUUUAUUGGGCGUAAAGAGCGUGUAGGCGGCCAGAUAGGUCCGUUGUGAAAACUCGAGGCUCAACCUCGAGACGCCGAUGGAAACCGUAAAGCUAGAGUCCGGAAGAGGAGAGUGGAAUUCCUGGUGUAGCGGUGAAAUGCGCAGAUAUCAGGAAGAACACCCGUGGCGAAGGCGGCUCUCUGGGACGGUACUGACGCUGAGACGCGAAAGCGUGGGGAGCGAACAGG
rnacentral:rRNA from 1 species